GUGAACGCUGGCGGUAGGCCUAACACAUGCAAGUCGAACGGCAGCACAGUAAGAGCUUGCUCUUACGGGUGGCGAGUGGCGGACGGGUGAGGAAUACAUCGGAAUCUACUUUUUCGUGGGGGAUAACGUAGGGAAACUUACGCUAAUACCGCAUACGACCUACGGGUGAAAGCAGGGGAUCUUCGGACCUUGCGCGAUUGAAUGAGCCGAUGUCGGAUUAGCUAGUUGGCGGGGUAAAGGCCCACCAAGGCGACGAUCCGUAGCUGGUCUGAGAGGAUGAUCAGCCAUACUGGAACUGAGACACGGUCCAGACUCCUACGGGAGGCAGCAGUGGGGAAUAUUGGACAAUGGGCGCAAGCCUGAUCCAGCCAUACCGCGUGGGUGAAGAAGGCCUUCGGGUUGUAAGCCCUUUUGUUGGGAAAGAAAAGCAGCAGGUUAAUACCCCGCUGUUCUGACGGUACCCAAAGAAUAAGCACCGGCUAACUUCGUG
rnacentral:rRNA from 1 species